rnacentral:rRNA from 1 species
AUUGAACGCUAGCGGCAGGAUUAACACAUGCAAGUCGAACGAGUGGCGGACGGGUGAGUAAUAUAUGGGAAACUGCCUAGUGGAGGGGGAUAACUACUGGAAAGGGUGGCUAAUACCGCAUACUCUUGGAUGUGCCGAGAUCGGAUUAGCUAGUAGGUGGGGUAAAGGCUCACCAAGGCGACGAUCCGUAGCUGGUGUGAGAGGACGACCAGCCACACUGGGACUGAGACACGGCCCAGACUCCUACGGGAGGCAGCAGUGGGGAAUUUUGGACAAUGGGCGAAAGCCUGAUGCAGCCAUGCCGCGUGUAUGAGAAGGCCUUCGGGUUGUAAAGUACUUUUGGCGGGGAAGCGGUACCUGCAGAAUAAGCACCGGCUAACUACGUGCCAGCAGCCGCGGUAAUAC